rnacentral:sRNA from 1 species
AAUUUAUUGUAUUCGCCAUCUUCAUAAGUCUUGAAUAUCUUAAACGCCUGAUCGUACUUGUCUUUCUCAUUGGAUGACAUUACUCUUUCAUAUGUACUUUUCUUUAUUGAAUAGAUGGUGACUUUUCAUCUAUAUGAGAUGGCGUCGGAUUGAAUAGAUGGGACGCUUAAGUUGUAUGAAGACUUGAGAAGCAUGUGUUUCAAAGAGACUUUGAAAUUUUUAUACUUUACUAUUAUCCUCUAGGUUCCAAGCCUAUAAAGUAAAAUAGCAAGAAGAAAAAGAUUGUCGGCUACCUGAAAUAUUGCAGAAUACAUGGCCAUACGCGCCAAGUAAACUAAAAGACUUUCAACUACCAAACAUAUAUGGACUGCAUGACCACAUAUAUGAAUUAUAUGGUGUCAUGUCGUCAACAUCAUAAACAUAUAAUCUCAGGUUAACUGGUUGACUAACUCCGCCAUUGACCAAUAAAAUAUUUAA